GACAGAGGGUGCAAACGUUGUUCGGAAUUACUGGGCGUAAAGCGUGUGUAGGCGGUCCACUAAGUCGGGUGUGAAAGCCCUGGGCUCAACCCAGGAAGUGCACUCGAAACUGGCGGGCUGGAGUAUCGGAGAGGUUGGUGGAAUUCUCGGUGUAGAGGUGAAAUUCGUAGAUAUCGAGAGGAACACCGGUGGCGAAGGCGGCCAACUGGACGAAUACUGACGCUGAGACACGAAAGCGUGGGGAGCAAACAGG
rnacentral:rRNA from 1 species